AGUUUGCAGUUUUCACAAGACACUGACAUUAUUGCUUGUCCAGGCCAUCACACAAAAGAAGAUGUGUUCUUGAACAUAAAUUGCAGUUUGGCUACCCUGCUUCAGUACUUCUCACAUCACUGCAAGAGUUUCUUAAAACCUUCCAUCCAGAGGAUGAGGUAACUCCACAUCAUCAGGAGUGGCAACAUACAGAGAUCUCAGCCCAUGAACUGUCAGAUGUCCAACACAGUGUCAGUAACUGCUUUCAUAACAACAGAAAGAAGAGCUGCAGUUGUUAUUCACUAAAAUAGAAGCUCACAAACACCUUCAGUGCACGCCAGUUUAAGAUUCAGGUCAGAUGUUCCUGGACCCCAGCUUCCUGACACAUCUGGUGGGCAACCCAGCCCUCCUGGCUGACAAGACUUGGAACUGGCAAGACUGAUGAAAAAAGCAUCAGGGAGGGUUAAAACAGAUUAGCAAGGAACUGCUAGGUGAUGAAUGGAGCCUGUCCCUGCAAGCACUCCAGGUUAUCUUCAUCUUCAUGCCCACUGGGAAUUGACUCACAGGUGUUUUAGGAAGAAGCAGCUGCCUACUUUGUGACAUUUUGGCUUUUGCCUCCAGGUUGAGAAGGGAUACGAUAUACAACAGAGAGGAGACAGUCUGCUGGAGAUAUCUAACUGCAUUUUCUACACCCAAAGUAGAGCUUGUUUGGCAAGUGAACAGGAAGGUUUCUACAUCUCAAAUGCAAAAGGAGUCAGGUCCCAUUCCAUUGACAAAGGACUGAGUAUCUGAAAUGGCAGAAGUAUUUAAAGCAAAUUAAUACCAUUAGCAAAGUCAAAGCUGAUGAAAGAUGCUUGACAUAAGCUGACAUUUCUGAAGCCAACAUCCUCUGGUCACAAAGCAAAGCAGAGGGAGGCAGGGCUGCAUGCUGCCCCUCCGUAGGGCCCUGCACAGGGCUGAAAUGGAAACAUGCACGUUCCAACAUCCCACACAGCAUCUGCAACCCUUCCUCCUAAGGGUGAAGGCAUUUCAGGAAAUUGCGCACCAAUUGAUAACGCUUAUCUUCCCAGCACAAUUUGAAUCAAUGGAUUUAAAUCUACAUGCAAUUUACAGCAAUGGAUCAAAAAAAAUCAAUGUCGCAUAAACCCAAAUCUUGAGGCUGUAUGGGUUUCUAAUAAACACAUCUGUCACAGGCAGAGCCGUGGCAACAUUUAUAUAAGCAAUAUCACACUUUUUGAUGGAGUUUUCCUUUUUGUAAGUAUAAAACAAACAGACUCACAGCAUAUCUCUCAGUUAGCAGAUAAGCCGCACAGACAGGAAUCUUUGAUGCUUUAUCUUGCCUUGCCCUGAUUUUUGCCCCAAACAAAUUAAUAUGGUAGCACCCCCUCUCCUAAGAGUCACUGGGAUUUAUGAAGUAAAAAUAGUCUUCAUUCCUAUCUGACACAUGGUGACACUAAGGGAUGCAGAGAUCAACUGGGAAGAAAAAGCAAGAUGUUAAGUCUUUAAAACAGCACAGCACUACUGAUACCCAUACCCAGAGUUCAUCCACUGAGUCCAUAAAACUUACUGUAACCUUUGUCCUAGGAGGAUUACUCAUCUGCAAGUUAUCAGCAAAACCACCUUCUAUGAAGUAGGACACAAAAUCUGUACAAAUUUUCUUUUUUUUUUCCCCCCCAAACAUACAACUUUAAACUCCAAAGUCACUUAAAGUCCAGAAGCACAACAAAACCUCUCUGAGUAGCAUGCAAGCAGAGCAGAACAAGAGGAAUGAGCGGUAGAGAUGCGCUGCUUACUGCAUCCAGGUACAGAGGGGUCUAGGAGGUCAGAGUGGGUCCAUGCCCACGUCCAGAAUUACCCCACAGAGGAACUGGUGCUGCAUUGCCUUGCAGCACGCAACCCUUGCUCUAUGGGUGAAACUAUAGUAACUACAUGACCACUGGGAAUUAGCAUGAUCCCAGGUCAUAAAACUCCAUCAGAGCAGAUUAGCAAAUGACCAGGCCAGCGCUGGAUAGGAGUCUUUUUUCUUUUCUUUCCUUUCUGUUAAAGGGAGAAUAUCACAUAUGAAAUGCUAAUUCUGUUUUAAAUCAGAAGUAAAACAUACACAUGAC
ensembl:lncRNA